UUGGGGAUGUGCUCCCCAGUGCUCAGCCAGGAACUGCUGACAUGUCCGAGUUGGUAUUCUUGAGUUGAUGGAAAUGGAGGGUGAAAACACUAAAGAAGAUCUGCAAGGGAAGAAAAGUCUGAGUGAGAAAGUUUCUCUCUAUAGAGGUGACAUUACGCUGCUUGAGGUUGAUGCCAUCGUUAAUGCUGGUAGGUGGUUAAAUAUUUUAUGUAGCUAUGCCUUGAAAAUUCUUUAUAGCUCCAUGGUACAAGUGUGAACUCUGAAAACUUGCCUAAAACUGGUGCAUCCUGUGGAAAUCAGUUGAAAAAUGGCUUUUCCCCCAGUUCCUUCAUAUUGUAUCUGUUCAUCCUGUGUGCAUUUACUGUGGCAGAGUUUAUUGUGAAACUUUAAUAGCAUGGUUGCCAUGAAAAAAGUAAUGAUCUUAUGUCCAUGUUUUGGCUGAACUUGGUUAGCUGAGACUUCACACUUUGCGUUGUAGAAGGCUCAUUUUUGUUACUAAGCUAAUACAGUACAUUCCAGUCUGCUUUUAUAAAUCAAGCCACUAGUGGGCUAGGUAAUGUGAGAACUUCAACAACAAGGGGAUAGGAAAACAGAAUUUGGUUUAUGUGGUUUUCAUAUUUGGUUUCUUGUUGGGAGAUUGUAUUUUUCAAGUUUUUGGCCAUGAUCUACAGAGUUUUACAUGUUUUAGUACCUCUUUGUGCUUAGUGAUUGUGUCCCUAUGUGUGCAGCCGAGGUGAAGAACUGUGUGUACAUCUUGUGACAAAAAGAGGGAAAUGCCUGUGCAAUUAAUUACUUAAUUAGUGUAUUAGUAAUUCAGUGUUUUGGCAAAAAAACAAUGGGAAAGUUUACCCCUGUGCACAUGCCCAUAGCAAAAUCUUGCCUGCACUCUCCACUCCAAAAAGAGUGUGUGGUUUGUGUGUCCUGAGGCUGAAAUUUUUUUCCCUCCUAGUAUUUGAGUGGCAUUGAUUAACUGAUUAAUUUUCAAGAAAUAAUUUUGGUGGUAUUCAUUUUUUGGAAGGAAAUGUGCUGUGGUAUCUUCUCCGUGAUGGAAUAAAGUUCAGAGGUUGUAAAAGGGUUGUAAUGGC
rnacentral:lncRNA from 1 species